rnacentral:misc_RNA from 1 species
CACCAAUCAAGCCUGGCUUGGUAUUGGGCAACGCGGUCCGCCGCGUGCCUCAAACCGUCCGGCUGGGUCUUCUGUCCCCUAAGCGUUGUGGAAACUAUUCGCUAAAGGGUGUUCGGGAGGCUACGCCGUAAAACAACCCCAUUUCUAA